CAUUUAAGUUUAAGUGAUCGCUACAUAUUAAUUUAUGUAGAGGAAAGUCCGAACACCAAUCUUAGUAAUAGUUGGUAACACCAACCGCUUGGGUAUGUGAAUACUUAAGUAGGACAAGUGCAGCAGAAAAUAUUCCUAUUUGUGAGACACGGGUAUACCCUUCACAAAUUAUGGGUGAAAAGGUUAGAGUACGAUCUAACCCGUUCCAUUCAGUGAUGAUGGAAAAGAGGUAAACUUCUAUUCGGUGCAAUCUCAAGUAGGCUACUUUAAGUAGCGGGUUGAGAGCUUGAUCCAUUUGGCAACAAAUGGACUAGAUAGAUGAUCACUGUUAUACAGAAUUCGGCUUAUUAACUUAAAUGAGUA
rnacentral:RNase_P_RNA from 1 species